GCUGGGCGUGGUGGUGGGCGCCUGUAAUCCCAGCUACUUGGGAGGCUGAGGCAGGAGAAUCACUUGAACUCAGGAAGUGGAGGUUGCAGUGAGCAGAGAUUGCGCCAUUGCACUCCAGCCUGAGCACCAAAAGCGAAACUCUGUCUCAAAAAAAAAAAAGAUGCAUCCCUUUUUUUUUUUUCUUUUUGAGACAAAGUCUCACUCUGUUGCCCAAGCUGGAGUGCAGUGGCGCGGUCUCAGCUCACUGCAACCUCCACCGCCUGAUUCAGGUGAUUCUCCUGCCUCAG
rnacentral:SRP_RNA from 1 species